rnacentral:lncRNA from 1 species
ACAACACAGCAGCCGUCGUCAGCUAACCUGCCCGAUGUCCAUUUGAAAUUCUGCACCCCAACUUCUGCCCUCAGCCCCAAGGUCGCGUGUGCAAGGGAAGUACAAGCCAGACAUGAAGUGCGCGGCCCUGCAACCCGCCAUAUGCCUUCCACCCAUGACAGAGCUCCGCACUCUUUCACGAGUCUGAGGGAGCAGCGUAAUUAAUACACCACCCUCCGAGCAGGCUGGGGACGGAAAACCAAUGACCACCUGCACCCAAAUGCCUCACACAGCUGUCGAAUCUCUCACUUCGCCGUCCGCAGAGAAGCUGUCCACACUAUGCUUUGUACCAGUGAGGCCGAGGACAUGGGACAGCCCUCACUAUGCACCAGGCCCGACCGGGAAUGCUUGUCACGCAUCAGCUCACGGACCUGCACCGCUUGGGGGACGCGGAGCCCACCAGGAUGCCCGUUCUCCAGGUGGCGCAACUGGACGCCCAGAGAGGUCGUGGAACCUGCUUCAGGUUGCACAGCUCGGAAUGCAGGCGGCAGCCUGUGAACUGGUGAACGGAGCCUCAGCGUCCGGAAACCAAUGCCGACCCGUCUCAAGGCUACGUCCCUUGGGAAGCUCCACGAGUCCCCCGUCCCUUUCCUGUAAACUGGGGACCCACGUACCCGGCAUAUUUCAUUUGUUUAUUGGAGACCGAGAGAGCAGAAGCAAGGGGAGAAGCAGGCUGUGGGAGACAAAGCAGCAGGCUUCCCACUGAGCACGGACUCCAUUCCGGGACCCUGGGAACAUGACCCGAGCCCAAGGCAGACGCUUCACCCACGGAGCCACCCAGAUGCCCUACACCUGGGUGAUUUUCAUCCCCCAAACCCGUAACUACAUUCACGUGUCUACCAUCCGUCCUAUUCCAAAUGGCGCUGACGACAGCGCGUCCUCCUCGGGAAGGCCACAGGGGCCCAAACACCUGCCGUGACCCUCGGAACAGAGCAGACACCGCAGCGGACGCAAACACACCCCAUAACGGACACCCAACCCCGCUCAGGAUCCCACUGAUGCGAUGCCUGCUAAGCUGCGUAGACAGCUUUGUGAGUCUGGACCUGCCCUGUGCUGUCCCCUGUGCUGGGGGUUACAGAGAGCAAGGACACGGCAAGCCAACCGGGUUUUUUUUUUUUCUUUUUUUCUUUUACGUUUAUUUAGAGUGAUGAAAAUUUAUGUAUGAGAGGUACAGGAAAAAAAUACAAACUAGAUGGAUGUACGUCCUUAUAAAUGCGUCCAUAGCAUGUCGGUCUGAUUGCAAAGGUGCAAACGCGUGUGUCCGUGCACGCCCACACGCAUUCACACACGCCUUCAACCCCCGUCACGAGAAACCCAGCACCGAAACUCACAUCCAGGAAACCUCGCGCGCGAGGACAUUCCCGUCCUGGGAGGAAUGUCGGGCGGCCGUCUUGAAACGACUCUAGUCACCCAUGCAUCCCGGACGCGAGACCCCACAUCGAGAUUCUGGGCUGCAAAUCCCUUUGGGUUUCUGGAACGCUCUCUUUAGGGCUUUCUGCAAUCGGCACCCCUCCUGUGGACUAGGUCUGUAAGCCUGCAUAUUUGGGAUUUUUCUGGGUCCUCUCCACGAGAUGCAGAGGGCAUUAAUUGUUUUUAUUCUGAUAUUUAGGGCAAAGCCCAAAAGUGCUCUAAGCAUGUACCUAAGUCGAAGGAACCUAUACCCAUAAGCCCCACCUGGCCUUUUUCCUUUCCCCCCAAAUGUUAGUAAAAUAGAAACAAACAGAUAGUCUGCAUUUCAGAUGCUUGGACAUUUAAGGUUUCCUAUUACGGAUCUUAAAAAAAAAAAAAAAGCAUACACUAAGAAAAAUGAUGGCCUCGCACAAAGGACAGACACCUACAGGGCAUCACAUGGAAACUGAUACGAGAGGACCGUCAAGAGACACACAUCGCGAUCGCUGUCCCCUGUUUUCCCAGAAAUCCCGAAACCUUAAGAUUUCACAGGAAAAGGAAAAGCAUCCUAAGGCCGCUUCCCCCACCCCUGCCCCCCGCCUCCCGCCCCCGAGAUGGCUUGCACUCGAGCAACUGUGCAUGUACAAUCCCGAAAGCCAGCCUCGGCACGUGCAGGUCACGGGCAGGGCAGAGAGGGCUGAUCCAAGCCGUCCCCAGGGGUAACAAUCCCGCAUCCCACAAGAGCCAAACCAGCGGGCACUGGAGGGCACUGGCCCUUGGAUGGAGAUUCAUCCUGCACCAAACUUCCCCCCAGAGCUUCCUGGAAACCAUCCCCCACCCCCAGUGGUGUUCCCGAUACCCCUGAAGAAGACAGCACCCAUGUCCUGGGACCCUGCACUGUGCUUUGGGGGGACACGCAGGGGUCACCCACAUGCACAUCCUGCAGGCCGAGGUAGCGCUGGGAACCCAAUCCAGAGUCGGCAUCUGUCCACGUGCGCGAUCGAACCAUCAGAGGAAGGAAGAAUCGUUGUUCAACCCGAAGAGGAACCCAGUCAAGCUCAGGAAUGCACUGUGUCCCGCGGACUGGGGAUGCUUUCUGGGCCAAACUGAAGCCACGUCAGGGCGGCGGGUGACGUCGACGAUGAAAGGAAGCGUCCCAGGAACGGCCAACGGCAUUCCCGUCUACACCGAGCGUCUCCCCAAGCGACCGCUGGAUCUCCCAACCCUCACACGUGUGCUGGUUCUGGAAGGGAAGACAGGGAACAGCAUGUCACACCGAGGGUGAACUGACCCACUAUGUCUUUUGGGGUCACAGCUAAUUUUGGCACAACCCCCUUUAUGGAUGUGGCUCCAUUAACCUUCAGAACCUCAGAAACGGGAGCUUUUAUUACUUGCAGUCGAGCAAAUAAAGCCAAAGCGCCACGCUCAAACAGUCCACCUGCUGUCCUGUAUGUGGCCCCAGAAGUGUGUCCCCAGAAGGUGUGGCAACUUCAAAGGGGGGGCUGUUGCACACGUCCAGUUCCACAGGUUGUGCACUGCAACACAUCCCCCUCCAACUUGCCAAGACAGAAUGUCACAAGUCCUUCUGCCGACCGGGGACCUCCCGGACCCAACCUUACAGCUGGGCAAAGUCGCUGUGAGGGGGUAGAGCCAAGCUCUCUGUAAUGCUGAGACCCUCCCCCACAGCCACGUCUCGGACGAAAGCCUAGAUGGAACCACCGUGGUCAUACGUGCUAGACGGUUUGCAAGUCUGGCAGCCAGCAAGACCAGGUAGCCCCGACAUGAGUCCUGCCCAUCUUCAGAGGGUCCCCUACUCCCGUGACAGGAGGUGUGCCUGACUGGGGUCUCAGGACCCUAGUUUUACAGACAGGCAGACAAACGUGGUGUCCAUGGGACCCAGGGACGUCAUCCGUGAAGAAGAGGUAGUGGAGGGGACGUCUGAGGGCUCAGUCGGUGAACCCUCAGGCCACCGUCUCAAGGUCCGGGGACUGAGUCCCACAUCGCACAGGGCUCCUUGCUCGGCGGGGAAACUGCUUCUCCCUCUCCCCCUGCACGUCCCCCGGCUCCUGCUGGCCCUCUCUUGUCCUCUCUCAAAUAAAUAAGUAAACUCUUAAAAUAAAUAAAUAAAUAAAAGAGUCACUGAAAAACUAGUCGGGAUGUUUCUCUAGUCUCCAAAGAAGCAAAGAGAGCGUCCAGAUGGGAAGAAACAAAACAACAAGAAAAAUCAAACAAAAAAGGCCACCAUCUCCGAUACACAGGGAGACCGUGAUCCAUACUGAAAAACAACGCAAAGCAAACCAAACAAACAAACAAAAAAAUGAAAACAAAACAAAACAAAAACAAAACAAAAAACCCUUUAGCUGUAAAAAAAUAAAUAAAUAAAAAUAAAAAACUAAAAACAAAAACGAUAAAAACCCAAUUCAGGUCUACACUGAUGGGUUCCGAAACGCCCGCGUAUCCAUGUGGAAAGAGGAACCCAAAGUCACGCCAUGUGUCUGUGAUGGUCCACGAAUGCCCAGACAUCUGAGGGGUUUUCCAGAGGCUCAGUUUCCCCCCAGGCUUUUUGGGGCGUGGGGAGUAGGGUGAGGAGUAGGAGGGGCGGGUGUGGUGUAGACCCGAGCUCCCCAGGGUCUGGAUUUGGUCAGUACUGCCCGUCCGCCAGCAGAGGGAGGCCCCGGGCAGGUUUUGGGAUUUGUGCAAGCCUCCCUCAAACACCCUUCGGUAGGGACACAAAGGAGACGGGGUGAGUGCACCCCACACACCCCAGAUGGAGUCCUUCCAGGCUGUCUGCUGUCGGGACCACAUGUCAACACUCCCUCAGCUCACCUCUGUCCCCUACAGCCCUCUCUGUCCCUGGACCCUCCCUGCAAACAGGUCCUCAGCCCAACACCUGCCACCUUCGCCCCCUAAGGAGGUGUGAUUCUCCAAACCUAGGAUCCUGGAUUCCCCACCCCUAAAAAAAAAAAUCCUGAACUAGGAAGCCACAGUGGCCUGCCACCCAUUUCCCAGGGGGGGAAAUUUGCAGGAAUUCAACAGAAAACCUUCCAAGUCUGUCCGUCCUUACUUUUGUUUUUGGAGAGAAAAACAAACACAGCAGGUUCCACCGAACCAGUUCCCAAGUCCCUUAGGAUCCACAGAAACGGUGUCAGCCCACCUGAUGGCAACCCCAAUAGCAUUUCAGUCUACAUGCGUGACUGGCAGAAACACCCACUCAUGCCGAUCCCAAAGCUGCUUAAAUAAUAAUAAAAGAAAAAGCAUUCCCCCCUUGAAGACCCAACUUAACACCACAUCCUGAGGCGACGCUCCUCUAUGGGGCGAACCCAGAAAGAACCCAGCCCAGCGACAGGCUCCAGGAGGUGUCUGCACAGAGCCCCAAACUUGCCGUUCGUCCUCAAACAGUUCCUCAUGCGGUUGCGUUGGCAGUAGCCGGCCGCGGCACCCACCAGCGUGACCACCAGCACGGACACGACCGGAGACACGAUUUUCGCUACCGUGUUACCUGCGGGAUGGAGACACCAAAGAGGGGCUCAGGAAACAGCACGGCCCGCGAGGGCGGCGAGUGUUGCAAAUUAUCCCACCAUCUCCGCUCGGGGACUUCCCAACCUUAAAUGCACGGAGUGGGGGGUAGGGAGAGGGGAAUAUAAGUAUAAAAAUAAAGAAAAAGAGGGGUACUUGGGUGGCUCAGGGGGUUAAAGCCUACGCCUUUGGCUCAGGUCAUGAUCUCAGGGUCCUGGGAUCGAGUCCCGCAUCGGGCUCUCUGCUCAGCGGGGAGCCUGCUUCCUCCUNNNNNNNNNNNNNNNNNNNNNNNN